rnacentral:tRNA from 1 species
GGAACCGUGCCUGAAAGCUAAGGAACUCCUUGAUAAGGAGAACCACAGGGGUUCAAACCCCCUCGCUUCC